rnacentral:lncRNA from 1 species
AUAGAGGUGGUGGACAGAGGAUAAGACCAUACUGUAACAAUGAGAUAGAGGUGGUGGACAGAGGAUAAGACCAUACUGUAACAAUGAGAUAGAGGUGGUGGACAGAGGAUAAGACCAUACAGUACCAAUGAGAUAGAGAUGGUGGACAGAGGAUAAGACCAUACUGUAACAAUGGAGUAGAGGUGGUGGACAGAGGAUAGACCAUACUGUAACAAUGAGAUAGAGGUGGGGGACAGAGGAUAGACCAUACUGUAACAAUGAGAUAGAGAUGGUGGACAGUGACUAAGACCAUAC